GUAAGCAGAAACUAUUUUUUUUUUGUUUUUUGCCAAAACACAUGUAAACUGAUGCUCAUCAAUUAGUUCAUUCAGAAGGAAAGAAAAUCAGUACUUGCAAGACCUGUUUUCCCUUUCUUUUGUAGACCCAACAAAUCAUUUGAGAAGAGAUCUUGCCAAGUGUUCUCGUGCAGUUGCCAAUGCUUGACUUAUAGUCUGCUCCGACAAAGGUGCCCCAGAAUCAACGCUGUUGCUUGCCACUUUCCCAGCAAUAACAUUAGCAUCCGUUUCAAGAACGAUUCCGCCAUCAACAAUUUCAUCCAGACACAAAAGAAUAAGGUCCAAAUUUUCAAGUGCCUCCUUCUUUUCUACAUUGCCCCUAAGAAGAAUACCAACAGCAUCAAAGAAUCCUUGGAGAACACUGGCAAGGAUUAUUUCAUUUUCAUUGUCACUCCCAGUAACAAAGAAAUGAAGAUCUUGAGCAAACUUGUAGACAACAAUAUAAUUAUCAAACAUUGUAAUCUCCGCUUCUGCCCUAGCAUUUGUCUUUUGAGUCUUGGCAAACACGGCCUUCUCAAAAGCUUCCUUUGCAGCAUUUGUUGGCCAAUCAUCUGAGUAGUAGUUUACAGCAACACGCUUUCCUUCGGAAUCUAGAAGCAGAAUGUUCUUAAUUGAAGGGCAGAUCUCCAUUGUUGGUGAAUUGAGGUUGAAAAUGGCGGAUCGCACGACCUACGGACACACCAGAAUUGCACGCCGUAGAGAAGGGAGGAGAAGA
rnacentral:misc_RNA from 1 species